GGGCAUAGGUGUAAUGUUUUGGGGGUAUUUGGCCAAAUCUAGCCUAAAUCCCAGGUUAUUGACAAGGACCGCACCCUCAAAGAAUAGAAAUAAUGGGUGUAAUGUGUAAUGUUUGAAUUUUAUACACAAUCUGGGAUGACAUUGCUAAAUGUUACACUCAUAGUUGUAAAACAUGUAGAACCUCAUUGAUUAAUGUGGUGAAUGCAAUAUA